GGUGCGAACGGUGGUUUUGUAUUUUAAGAGGAGGAUCAUCUUUGAGUUUUUGGCAUAGGCUGUUCAGUAGGAUUUCUUUCAACUGCGGCAUUUUGACCAACAAUAUAUUGUUGAAUUUUUUAUCUGUGCAUUGGCCGUUUGAGUUUUGUCUAAACACAAAUUAUGUGUUAGACCGAGUUCUUCUAGCAGAGCUCACUCUGUGGGUCGACAUACUUUUUGAAUUUCUUUUGAAAAUUCUUCUUGGGUGUGUGAGUUCUCUGGAGUGUUCUUGUAUUGAUGUUGGAGUAGUUCUUGAUUAUUUUUGUACUAUUUGUUGUUCUUGGUCUCUUGUCGUUGCUAAUUUUCGUAGAUAGUUGCUCUGGUUUGAAUUUCUUCUUCUUGGGCACAAGUAUUGUCACCGCUGUUAGUUCAUAAUUGCAAAUUGAUGCUUUUACCUACAUCAAUUUGAGGGGGAUGUGAAUGAGAUUGAAUAAGAUUACGGAGAUCAUCGAAGAUUAUAGUUAUAUUAUAAUUAUAAUUGUACCAUAUAUAGAUAAAUUGUUUUUGCUAUAAUUAGAUUGAUUUGGUUCUAUAUAUUAAGAGAAUCUCUCGUAGAGAGACUAAGAGAGGCAUCGAGUCUUAUUAAGUAUAUUUGCCAAGUUUUAUAUUCCAUUAUACAAUUCUUCAUGCAGCUCGAUGACAAAGAUUAGCUCUCCCAAGAGCAUGUUUGUCUAAGCUUUAAAAAAAAAAUGUUUACUUUUCAUUAACAUUUUAUCGCAAACAUUUUUGGAUAACCUACUUUUUUGAAAGUCUCUAACAUAACUGCCAAAAUAAGUAACCUACUUGUUUCAAACUUUCACUAAUGAAAGAAAUUAUUUAUUUUAAAACUUAUUUACUUAUAAGUAAACUUUGCCAGAUGUGCUCUUAGUACACGGAAUGAUUGAACCAAAUUUUGUUGUAGGUGAUGCAAUGGAUGGAGGAGGCAGGCGUUCGACCGUCAACUCAAAUGUACCAGAAUAUCCUUUCGUUUGCUCAAAUACGUAGUGGAACUGAACAUGGUGCUGUCAUAAAAGAACGAAUAGCAUACUUGAAAAGGAAAUACGAUUAUCCAAUUUCAACAAGCAAAGAUGACAUGAUGACACAACAGGAAGAGAGUAAUAUUCCAGGAAGGUGAAAUUUUUUCCUUCGUAUAUGGCAAGCUGAUAUUGAUGACAUGACAGGUAAAAGCAUCGAUUUUUCUUGAAAAUCUAUAUGGAUGUCGAGACAGGCUAUGGGAUUGUGAGCCCGAUCUCUGUUUUUUGCCUCCGGAAAUGGAGCUGGAUCCGAGUGUUAAUCCAUUUUGAAGUACAAGUACACUGAUUUUGUAUCCGUUUCACUGUCCAAUUCUUGUAUACGAGAAUUGUGUAUAUAAGGCAUGUCAUGAGAUAAAAAUGUGUUACAUUAAUAAGUACUUAUAGUAACCAAAAAUAGAAUGUUCAAAAAUAAUUUUGAUUUU